UCCAGCCAUUCAUCCAUCCACCUACCAAUGGUUUCCCACUGACGCUGAGCAGGGUUGAGCCUGGCCAGCACCUGGAUGGGAGGCCUCCUGGGGAAAACUAAGGUUGCUGCUGGAA
rnacentral:rRNA from 1 species